UACGAAGGGGGCUAGCGUUGCUCGGAAUCACUGGGCGUAAAGGGUGCGUAGGCGGGUCUUUUAAGUCAGGGGGUGAAAUCCUGGAGCUCAACUCCAGAACUGCCUUUGAUACUGAAGAUCUUGAGUUCGGGAGAGGUGAGUGGAACUGCGAGUGUAGAGGUGAAAAUUCGUAGAUAUUCGCAAGAACACCAGUGGCGAAGGCGGCUCACUGGCCCGGUACUGACGCUGAGGUGCGAAAAGCAUGGGGGAGCAAAACAGG
rnacentral:rRNA from 1 species